UACAGAGGUCUCAAGCGUUGUUCGGAUUCAUUGGGCGUAAAGGGUGCGUAGGCGGCGAGGUAAGUCGGAUGUGAAAUCCCGGGGCUCAACCCCGGAACUUCAUUCGAUACUGCCUUGCUAGAGUACUGGAGAGGAGACUGGAAUUUACGGUGUAGCAGUGAAAUGCGUAGAUAUCGUAAGGAAGACCAGUGGCGAAGGCGAGUCUCUGGACAGUUACUGACGCUGAGGCACGAAGGCCAGGGGAGCAAACGGG
rnacentral:rRNA from 1 species